rnacentral:lncRNA from 1 species
AGCCGAGCUCGGCUCGGCCCACAAGCUACCCACGAGAGCCCCGAGCUCGCACAUAUUUGGACGAGCCGAGCUCGUCCCAAUUACAGCUCCUUAAAACUACUUGAAAUCGAACAAAUUUGAAUUUCUCGAUCUAAUCAUUCUCGGCGUUGAACUGUGUGUAAGGAGUUAGCGAUGUGGUGGCAAGUGAUUUCACUAUCUCCGUUGGUUUCCUCAUCGAAACCAUUCCUUCUCAAUCAGGCAUGUUUCACGAUCCGAUUCUCACGUCUCACUUUCAUUUUAUUUUGUAUUUGUAUUAUCAUUUUAUUCUGUUUUACCCUUCAUUAAUCAAACGCUCUGUACCAGUAGAUGCGAGCAGCGAAUGGACUAAAGACUUGGCAAGCUUUUCGUACCGAAGUUUAUAAACCGGUAUUAGUUUCAUUUUGUUAUUCUAUUUGAUGGUUGAAUUAGCUAAUAGAAUUCGCGACUGCGAUGAGUUUUCGGUUAUUGUUGUUAUCAUUUGAUAUUUCUGGAAUUGAAAAUAUUGAAUAUUCUGCUGGUCAAG